rnacentral:misc_RNA from 1 species
CACAGUUUUACCACCAUCUGCAUACCACGCAAUUUCAUCGCCCUUAUGAUAUUCUCGUUCACUCAUUGGCCGAAACCUAACCGUCACAGAAAUACUAUCUCCGGAUCUAGACUCAUCAGCUGGCUCAUCAAUCAACUCCUCUUCGGAUGGAUAACUCACCGGCGUACGAUUUUCAUAACCUUGUGAGUACACCGAAUCGGAACGACUAUGACUCGGAGUCAUGGAUCUGGAAUUGUAGCUAUUCCCAG